CCUACGGGAGGCAGCAGUGAGGAAUAUUGGUCAAUGGGAGAGAUCCUGAACCAGCCAAGCCGCGUGAGGGAAGACGGCCCUAUGGGUUGUAAACCUCUUUUGUCGGAGAACAAAACCCGGGACGAGUCCCGGACUGCGUGUAUCCGCAGAAAAAGCAUCGGCUAACUCCGUGCCAGCAGUCGCGGUAAUACGGAGGAUGCGAGCGUUAUCCGGAUUUAGUGGGUUGAAGGGGUGCGUAGGCGGUCUGUUCAGUCAGCGGUAAAAUUGCGGGGCGCAACCCCGUCGAGCCGUUGAAACUGGCAGACUUGAGUUGGUGAGAGGUAAGCGGAAUGCGCGGUGUAGCGGUGAAAUGCAUAGAUAUCGCGCAGAACUCCGAGUGCGAAGGCAGCGUACCGGCGCCAGACUGACGCUGAGGCACGAAAGCGUGGGGAUCGAACAGGAUUAGAUACCCUAGUAGUC
rnacentral:rRNA from 1 species